GUUUCAGGUGCCAUGGAUAAGAUGAAGGUGCCUGUUCCAGCGAAUAUGGGCACUGCAGCAGAACUAACAACGGACUAUUGUGAAUCUCAGGUCGUGAUAAGUAUUCACUCACAGAUGUUCAAGAAGUAGGAGUGAAGGACCCCGAACCGUCUCGGACUAUUCUUCUUAUUCUCCUGUUCAGUUCUUCUGCUAUUCCAGCUUGGGAGGGGGGGGUAUUAACUGAAAUGCAAGUAGCAAGCUACUACUUUGGACUGACUGGAAUUUCUGUUCUGAAGCAAUUUAUUAGAACUUCUGUUGCCUUUAAAUUUCUGGUUUGCCGUGAGAGGCAAUAGCCAUAAUUUGUUUGGCACUUCUUUUGUGCAAAUCCCAUUGAGAUGUGCAGUAGCUUCUGGAGGUCAAAAGCACAUGAUCUUUUCACAGUUCCCAUUCAUUUCAAUGGAGCUUGCAUGAGAGAGGGGCAAGUGGCUGGUGGCUGGUGGCUGGCGGAUACAAAAGUCUGGAGCAUUUGGAAGGGCACAGCAGCUUUCACCACCACCCAGCAGAAACUGGCCUGGUAAAAAUGUAGCCUGCCUUGAUUUGAGUCAGCCGAUCUUUCUUCCUCUCAUGCUGGGAUUCGAGUGGGGGCAACCCACCCUGCCAUCCUUGUGUCAAGCAAAUUGCCAUCCUUGUGUCAAGCAAACUGCCUCUUCUAGUGGGCUCCUGAUAAAUUCUUCUCCUUCAAUAAAUCCCUACCUCCUUCGCA